GUCAGUGUGGUAUAGUGGUUUGAGCACUGGACUACAGCUCUGGAGAUUAGGGUUCAAUUCCCUGCUUGGCCA